ACCGGCCUCGGCUCGGCUCGGCUCGGCGCGGCGCAGCGCCCAUGCCCACCUUGCUGCCGCAACUCCCGGGGCCCGUCUCCACGACUGAACCGAUCGUCUCGGGCUCGCCGACACGUUGUGGGCUCCCUCCCUCCGGGCACCGUGGACGCCGGCGGUGCCCGGGCAGCGGCACACGGCCACUACCGCGACAAGCCUGUUUCUCUCGGCCCUCGCCCCCGGCUCUGCCCGUGGUGGAUCGGGGUGUCCUGGGCGCGACGUGAGGGGCCGGCCCCCAAAGCUUUUAGGGCAGGAGAAAUGGACACUGGGCCGGGCUGGGUCAGACGGCCCGAUCCCGCCGGGACUAGAUCUCCCGAGGGCUGACUUCCCCGCGGCUCCGUGACAGACGAGUGAGAGCUCGGGGAGCUUUUCGGGGGGCAGAGACUGGACAGUGCCUCCAAUGCGUCUGUCCAGCGCCUAGCACUUGCGCAGCGCAAUCGGGGUGAGAGCCCCGCUCCCCGAUCUCUCCCACGUCACCGCAGUCCUUGACUGCAGCAUGCCACGCCACGCCACGCCACGCCACGCCACGCCAGCUGCCCAGCUGGCAGGGGCCAGACCCCCCAGGCCCCGAUCUCCCGCGGCGCGACGUUAUCCCUGCGACCCCUCCAGCCCCUGGCCCCGGGCCGGCCCGCGAGAUCAGGGCAGGACUCGGGACUCGCACUCGCUGCUCGGUGCCUUCACACUUCAAAACAUCGCCAGCUCCAACCCAAACCAACGCCAAUGUUUUUCGCCGGGCUCGCAGAGGAGAGGGCACGAGGGAAAGCGGAGGAGCGCCCUUGCACCGCCUCGCUCCUGCCGCAGCCCCCACGGCCUGCCCGCGUCUCCCCGAGGGGCGAGAUGCUGCUCGCGGCGCGGUGGAAGUGGAAGAGUCUGGCCCCUAAUUUGCGUCUCGUUGCAAAUGUGAAUAGAGGCCUGAAGCUGCUAUUGUUGCUCAGAACAACAUGUAAUCCUGCUGAUGUGGAAAACUAUAAUUCUGAGGCCCAAUUAAUAGGGGAUUUUAAAACGAGAGUCAGAAAACAUUGCUGCGGCGCUGUGACUUAGGGUGGGGGCAGGGAGAGACGAUCCAAGAUAAAAUCAUUAGCGAGGAGAGAAAAUACUCCGGAGGCCUCGGCGAUUUCAUCAUUUUUCUGCACCACCAAAAUAUAAAUAAAUCAAUAAAAGAACAGCUGGAUCCGCGCGGCAAAAGGCACAAAUGUCCUCAGCCGGCACGGCGCGGUGGGGGUGGCGGGGCGCCGCUCGUCGGAGAUUCACACCGAAAACGGAGCGGCGGGCCCCAGGGGCCGAGCGAAGCGGAAGGGAAGGGAAGGGAAGGGAAGGCAUCGCGCGGUUUGCACGGUCCCACGGCCCCGGGGGGGACCCGCCGCCCCCCCGGCAGAGGUGAAGUGUCAGUCUUGGCAGCCACUUAGGACAGGAAGAAACGGUUCCACAUAAAUUACGAAUUAAAAAGCAGAAACGAGCCAGGCGCCAAACGCUCCCGCACGAGCAGCCGGUUGCAGCCGCGGGAACUCACCUUUCCCUUGAAGACAAACAAAGAAGGAUGCGGCGGGGGGUGUUGGAUGCUUUGAAAUCGGGUCUUCGGCUUACACCUUACGACGAUGGGACCUCACUACAGGUCACCGCUAAUCACUCGAGACACAUUUAUAGCGGCAGCUGGGAAAGGGAUUAAAAAUAAGCAGCUUCUUAGAGACGCUUUUAUUCGGAAAAGCAAAAGCGAGAGCCCGGGCGACUGAACUGCUCCUGCCCUCGCUCGAAAUCGAGAGCGCCCGAACUGCGGCAGGCCCCACGGCGCCACGUCUGGGCCACGGCCACCGCCUCUUCGACGCGGGAGGAUGCCUGAGCACGGCGAGCUUCGCCGGUACAGCAACCGCUGGCCCCUUCGGGCAUAGAGCAAGGCCUCGCUCCUGCAGAAGUGCACACGAGAUUGCAGAAACAGGGCUGGAGCGCGACGGGGACACGCUGCGUCCCCCUAAUGCCAGGCACCAAGAGAAAGACAACCAGCUCGAAGGCACGGAUCUUUCUCCCUACGACGUUGUGUGCCGUGCGCGCGCACGUGCAGUUUUAUAUGCAGACGCGGCUACUCUUUCGGCGGGCAGCCUCGUGAACAAGCGUGCUCUUUGAACGGAAGGCGCGAGGCGCAGAAAUCGAGCUCGGCCGGCGCCGGCGGUGCUUGCGCCGUGCUUUGCUGCCACGCAGCGGGGCCGGCACCCCUGCCCCGGGACUCUGUCAAGCUGCGUGCAUGCAAAGAUACAGGAGAUGGGCGUGGGGAGGAGAUCGCAGGGAAACCGAAUGAGUCAGGGCGGUGGUUACACUGCAGCCGUGCACGCCGCGCUCGACCUUGCUUGGCUGCAGAAAGGGAAAGCAGCCGAGCGCCGGAGGCUGAGUGCGAGUUGGUCCUCUGCACGCGUGCCGUGCACCCGGGGGUCCACGGGCACACGGGCCCCCGGGAAUGGGGGUGGCAGUCGGUGUGCACACUCACUGUUUCUGAAGCCGAAGGGGAAAGGGUUUUUUUUUGCAGGCAUGCAGUCUGGCAAGAUGCACCCAGUUACCCCUAAAGGGCUGAGUCAACCAGAGCGUGGAAGGAAAGGGCUCAGGUUAUAGACACAGCAGUGAAAAGGCUGCCCUGUGGUCUCAGGGGCUGAUUAUGAUUAAUUAGUGUAGUACUGAGAUGUGUAGGCUGUAAGGACUAGGCCCCAGGACCUGCUCAGCUCCGGAUAAAGGCAAGUACUCGUCCAGCUGCGUGCACGCUGCCCGGGGCGUUGGCGAAGGGCUCGGCGAGGUGCAGGGAGAAGGGGAGCGUCCCAGUGGUGCACACCUAACGUGGCCUCACACUUCUCUUGUCCCCUACAACAGAAGGGCAGCAGCUCGUUGCCGGCAAGGUCCUCCGGACGUGGGAAGCACGGUAUUUGGGGAUACCUUUAUCGGACUAACCAUGCAGUCGGGAGAAAGGUCAGUCAAGUGUGCAAGCACGAAACGCCCUUCCUCGGGUCUGGGAGAGGUCUUGUAAGCACCCAGGCCAACAAGAGGUCGAAGGAGGGACUUGAAAAGGGCAAAAGAGACCCAGGCAGAUGUUUGCGGAGGCUCCUUCUUUCUACUGCUUCGAUAUCUGACUUUUUAACCUGCACAACUGCCACGAGUUUUGUUCUGCAACACACUUGUGCACGUGCACGCACGCACGCACGCACGCACGCACGAACGAGAGAGCCGCAAUCCACCCGGACCGUAGCUGUCAUUCUGCGUCUGCAAAUCUGUGGAUACGGUAACUUCACGUGCAACUUCAUUCAUUUAGACAUGUGAACAUCUGGCUGCGCCUGCACAUCAGGUACGCAGCCGUGAUGAGAAAACUGCUCCUGAAAGUGUUGCAGGCAGAAAACGGAGGCGGUUAUAUAAAACCCAGCCUAUAAUAUCUCCUUUUGUUCUGAAUCCUAUUUUAGGGGGGGAAAGCAAGUCACUCCAGGCAAAACUGCAUCUGCGGGAGAGCAGGGAUCUGCUAGAGGAAGCACUGGAGGAAGUGUAAUGGAGGAGCGGAGGGAGCAGGUUUCUCAUCCGCGUUCGGCUUCUUACUCAGAUUUCCCGUGCUUCCUCCAUCUGUGUUUAAGUCUCCUGAAAUGGCUCUUGAGUCUGGCUUGUUCAUGUCAAGUAUCUUGGGGCUGAAGCUGAAGAUGUUUCAUUAAAUUCACUACAAGUAACUGGAGCCCCUCUUCACGCUGCAGUGCCUUUCUUCACAACAAAACAGAAAGCUCUUCUCCUUCCCGGGCGUUUCCAGCAUGAAGAUGGCUGAAUGGGGCACGAAGUGCUGUGUUCUCCAGACGCUGGAGUGCACUUGGAUCACCCUCUUGCUGCACAAGACGAUCCUGCAUUUCCCUGUCUGCCGGCGCCAUUCUUCUCGCCCUGCGUUUCCCCCGUUUCAACGGGCCUGGACUGGUGGGACCACAACGAGCGUGACGACAGACACCGCCGCUGCCAGACACCAGGUGUGAGCACACUGAUGCGGCGCAAGACAUUUCUUCUGCUACUUUCUCAUGGUCGGGAACGACGGCACGCUGCUCUCGCAACCGCAGAGCCGCGGGGCUGGCAGGGAGCUCCAGAAGUCACAUCUAGUCCAGCGAGACGGGAUCGUCCCUAUCCCAACCACCCCGUACGAAUGUAUAAUCUCACCUCGUAGUAAAACUACAGUCAGCCCUGACGCCACGUAAGGCACAACACCCAAACCCGUCUCAGGUAAAGCAAAGAGAACAUCCUACUUCUGUAAAAAACGUGUUAAAUGUAUAUACCGCUGCCUGACCCCCUCCGCCCGUGCCUACUUCCCUUCACCCGCCCCUCCCGUGCUGCGCCUGCACCCCGGGCACCUGGCAGCUUGUCACGAGCUUUCUGAAAGUCCCCAAAUAUUAUGUCCACCGGAUCCCCCUUGUCACGUGCUUGCUAACACCCUCGAAGAAGGGAGAAGCAGGGUUUCCCUUUGCAAACACCGUGCUGACGCUCCCCAGCAGAUCGCACUUGUCCACGUGCCUGCUGGUUUUAUCCUUUAUCACACCGGCUUGGCAGGAAGGGAGACGCGGUGGUCCGUACUAGCCAGGACCCCUCGGGAGCCCUUUCUGAAGAGUGGCAGCCCACCACUCCUCUGGCACUGACGCCCGUUGCAACGACGGGGUAUCUGCUAUUGCCAGCAGUCCUCCAUUUCCCCUUGCGAUCCUCCAGCAGCGCAGGCGGCUGCCGUCGGGCCUGGUGCCUUAUCAGGAUUUUCGAAAACAGUCCAACGUUUAGUUAAAAAUAGCCCCUGACGGAGAAUUCACCCACAGUCCUCAUGAGCUCUCCUGGGGAUUAAUUUUGGUGUCAAGGCAUUGACAGUUUAACCAGGAUGCUGAAAAACUGGUGAGGGGGCAGGAAAGCUGCACAGGAACGACUCGAGGGCUGAAGAAAAUGCCUUACAGCGAGAGACUUAAAGAGCUCAACAUGCUUAGCUUAUCACAAAGAGGAUUGAGAGGUUACUUGAUUACGCUGGAAAAGAAACUUCAUAAGGAGAGCAUAUUGGGCCUGGAAAGAGUCCUUAACAUAGUUGAGAAAGACCUAACGAGCCCUGGCGGCUGUAAGUCACGGGCAGACGGGGCCAAAGGAGAAAGGAGGCGCACGGGUUUACCAGGCCACGGGAACAAGCCCCCGAAGGGAGGGUCGUGCCUUCGGGUCAAGACCGGCUGUCUCGCCGGGAGGCGUGCUGUACCCGGCACCAACGCGUGGUCUCAGUGCGGGGGUGUCUGGAGGGCACCAGGCUGCGAUCUACAGGCCAGAUGGGACCUGGACGUCCCUGAGAGCAUCCUCCGACGGGUUUCUAGUUCAAAUCAUCUCAUCGUGACAAGCUACAAAAACCCAUCUCAAGUUCACCUGCAGCUUGUGUUUCCCCGGCCUGUAACAUCCUUUCCGUUCUCAAACCCUGCCAGCCUGCAGCUCUGCCCACGCACGUCCUUGCUCUUGGCCUGCGCCGCGCACAGGCCUCUCUGCCUCGCCUUCCCAAGGGGAACGGCAGUGCCAGGGAAACAAUGGGAACAAAAAGGAGCAAAAGAUAAUGGACUAACAGUCCUUUCCCCUCCCUUACUGCGAUCUCAGCCGUCCCCUGCCAGCUUCCGCCCCACGAACACUGAGGUUUUUUGUAGCUUAAGCGGGGUCAUUGUUGUGGUGGUGACGGGGAGCGCAGCGGACAGAUUAUACUUGGACGUACGGAGGUUUUUGUCAGAGUCCCACAUGCCAGUCUUAUAAUAAGAGCAUAGGCUGGACAGGAUGACCACUGGGUGGAUGUAUAAUGGGUUGAAUAACCACAAGCAAAAAGUAACCCCUAACGGACCGGUGCCAGGAUGGCAGCCGAGCUCAAGCAGGGCCCACCGUGGUUUACCAUCUUUGCGAAGGACACCGGUCACAUCUGCAGGCAGCACCGAGCCAGGGGCGGAUGCAGACGCUCGGGAGGAGAAGGUUACAGCCCAAAGGUGUAAAUCGGAGACCGGGGCUACACGCAGCAAGACGAACUUCAGCAAAGGCGCAGUUAACCCCAACAAACUUGCCAAAAACAGAGCAGUGGCUACCCAGAAGGAGCUGGCGGUCCUCACGGCUGCUGUGGCCCAGCUGUGCACCCCGCUGGGGGUGGGUGGGGGGCUGCCAGCAUGAAGGGAAGCCCGAGAUAGGUGCCAUGAGGGGCAGGGCCACAUGAGAGACAGCUCUCACAACCAAUCAGCAGUGGGGGAUGGAGCCACCGGCCCCCCCCCCCCCCGGGCCAAUCAGAGGCUUGGAUGGGCCCAGCCCACGAAAACGGUACCCUCCUCGAGUUGGGUAUAUCCCUAACUACCGGAUAAUGGAGCAAGUCGCCCGGGGAAGGGGUGGUAUGUCCGCCAUCGAAGGCGUCUGUCGGUGAUGGGUCACACACGGUGUACCCUGUAUGCGUCUUGGGCUUGGGACCAGUCUUCGAAUACCGCAAGGGCUGUGAUGUGGAGGAUGGUGAGAGACUAUCUGUGUGCGCGGGGCACCGGACACGGAGUAUUGGGCUGAAAUAGCAGCAAGGAAGAUACUGGUUGGAGAUGGGGAAGACGUGUCUAACGUGGGGAUUAGUAAGCGCUGGAGCCCGAACUCAGAACAGAUGCAGAGUUGCCACCCUGGGAAGCUUUUAAGAGCGGGCUAGACAAACGCUUGUCCAACACGGUUUGCACAGAGAUAGUCCUGUCUUGAGCAGGGGGGAGAAAUGACAAGGUCCCGAGUCCCCUUCCUGCUGUCUAGAGACACAGAGGCCAGGGGUGAGGAAGCUGGGUCAACGAAGACUGGUUUGCUUGUUCAGGAGAAAUGAGAAAAAGAAGAGUCCUGCACUUUCUCAUUCACUCCAGUACGCAUGCUUUUAAACUGUUGGAAGGGAAGCACAACUUGGAGCCCGUCAAGGGAGCUGGAUGCGAUGCCUCGUCCUCCAAGUGCUCCGCAGAGAAACCCGAGAGAUCCUGGGAACGCAGCAGCUGGGCCAGCAAAUGCAGCAGCAGGUCACACACAUGCAAAUUUAUUUUACUGGAAGCUCAUGCUGGCCAGGGCAGUGCAGUAAUCCCUGUAGUAUUUUAAAAGGGCCAUGGGAACUGCACGUUUUAGCUCUGCAGCUUCCUACACAUGGCAGACGGGACUCUGGAUUCGUCUCAUCUGGGAAAGAGCGCUUACCGAGGUAGCCCUGUCCACGUGCACACGCUCUGCGCGGUACCGCGCGGCAGGGCAGCACCAGGACCGGCGUGGGGCUCCCGGGCCCCGGGGUGCGACUGCGACAGGCUGCUCCCCGGUGACUUCACAACGUCAGUGUAGCUCUGUGAUGUCACCUGUGGUUUUCCUCCUUCAUUUUACAACAAAAAGGUUAAUUCCUUGUGUUUGCCAGAAAUGAGGGAGGGGGAAAAUCUUUCUUCUGCUCCAACUAGUGAAUCUGCCCGGCCUGUGUUUUAACUUGCAAAGAAUUCAUCUGGGCUGAGCCGAGCUCGCAGCCAAAGGCCAGCUCGCAAACUUCCUUUGAAGCAAAUGUUUAAAACUGAAACGACGGUCAGCGGACUGGGAAUAUUCGGGGACCCUAACAAAUCAGUCCUGUUAACCUUAUUCUUGUAUGAAAAUUAGGUUUUAUUGUCUUCUGAGGCACAUUAGCCAUGGCUAUCUCUUCAAACAGGCCUUGCACUUCCUGUCUCCUUUUUAUGCAUUACAGUAAAAUCUACAAGAACAAUCACAUAAAGGAACACAUAAAAAGCUUAUUACUUCAGUAGGCUAAUAACCUUUGUGAAGCGUUAAUAAAAUCCCCCACUAAAAUCUAAAGCAGGGCUGUUAUCAUGGCAACCGAAUGAAAGAGGCACUUUAUCCAUACAUUUCUGUCUCCCAAGCACAUGGAAGGCAGCCAGGUAGCAGAUGGCUUGUGUGGACAAUUACCUUCAUUCUGUGGCAGCAUGUUUAAAUAAAACACGCUCCGUCCUCUUCAUUACCGAUUUGCAGAAUCACUGCUCACAUAUUGCUGGGGAAAAUAGCGUGAGAAAGGUACAGCGCGGUGUGGAAAGUGCUCCCGGGAUCCUGACAGUGACGUACGGUACGGUACGGUCCGCGCAUGUGUGCGUGCAUGCGUGCGUGCGUGCAUUUAUAUAUAUAUAUAUAUAUAUAUAUAUAUAUAUAUAUA